GAAUGCUUAGACAGGGGAUACGUUUUAUUCUUCUUUUUUAUACAUAUAUUAUUUAAUUUCAUUCCAGAAUCUAUAAGAAGUUGAUUAUCAUUCAAAUAAACGACUAUUAUUCAGUGGUUCUUCGGCACAAACAAAAAAUAGGGUCUGAGUUCUACUCACUUUUUUUCUUUCCGAAUGGGGCAUGGGGUCUCAUUCUCUCUUUUGUGAGAAGAACCAAUUUAAGGCUUAUAUUUUAAUGCUAGUAGCUAUGAUAUUUGAUAGGCGUAUACAAAACAUAAGUAUCAAUUAAAUUCCCAUUUCAAAUUGGGGUUCCGGCGGUUCUUCCGCAUAUAACAGAGGUUCAAAAUUCUUCACAUUUUCUUUAAAGUUAGUUGGAAUUUUCUUCCUUUAGGAACUAAUUGUUGGUUAGGUAUUUUCCGUGUGAGGAGGGUAUAGGAUUCUUCCUUUGAUUAUAUGUUUGUAGAGAUCUGCUUUAGGCAAUCAUACUGAGAAGUGAGCUGACAAUUGUUGUCCCUUGGUUGAUAUGUCCUGAUCGUCCUGUUCUUUAGGUUUAAUUCCAUCAGU
rnacentral:lncRNA from 1 species